CCUACGGGAGGCAGCAGUGGGGAAUAUUGGACAAUGGGGGGAACCCUGAUCCAGCCAUGCCGCGUGUGUGAAGAAGGCCCUCGGGUUGUAAAGCACUUUCAGUGAGGAAGAACGCCUGGUGGUUAAUACCCAUCAGGAAAGACAUCACUCACAGAAGAAGCACCGGCUAACUCCGUGCCAGCAGCCGCGGUAAUACGGAGGGUGCGAGCGUUAAUCGGAAUUACUGGGCGUAAAGCGCGCGUAGGUGGCUUGAUAAGCCGGUUGUGAAAGCCCCGGGCUCAACCUGGGAACGGCAUCCGGAACUGGCAAGCUAGAGUGCAGGAGAGGAAGGUAGAAUUCCCGGUGUAGCGGUGAAAUGCGUAGAGAUCGGGAGGAAUACCAGUGGCGAAGGCGGCCUUCUGGACUGACACUGACACUGAGGUGCGAAAGCGUGGGUAGCAAACAGGAUUAGAUACCCUUGUAGUC
rnacentral:rRNA from 1 species